GGGAUCGAGGCGCGCGGGAGUCCCGGGGCGGUGGAGCCCGCGGCGGGUCGGCGCUGGGUUGCAGCGCGCCCGGUGCAUCUGCAGCGUGCAUGUUGCCUCACUACCUUGAGCCCAUCUCGGUUCCCCGACGAAGCAAGACAGGCACUCUCGGUCUACAAGAUGCUGCCUGACCUCCAUGUGUUUCCAGCAUUUUCUGUUUUUAUUUCGGCUUUCCUGGCAUCUGCAGUUUUUUGUUUUCACUCCGUGACAGCACUGCGUAGAGUGACUGCUGUGUUUCCUACAUUACAACUGAGACACAAGAGACUGCAGAUGCCGGAAUCUGGAGCAAA